UACCAGCUCUCCGAGUGGUAGGGAUGAUUAUUGGGCUUAAAGCGUCCGUAGCCGGCUUAGCAAGUUUCCUGUUAAAUUCAGCGACCUAAUCGUUGAGCCGCGGGAAAUACUACUAGGCUAGGAGGCGGGAGAGGUCGACGGUACUUCUGGGGUAGGGGUGAAAUCCUAUAAUCCCGGGAGGACCACCAGUGGCGAAGGCUGUCGACUAGAACGCGCUCGACGGUGAGGGACGAAAGCUGGGGGAGCGAACCGGAUUAGAUACCCGGGUAGUCCCAGCUGUAAACGAUGCGGGCUAGGUGUUGGGGUGGCUACGUGCCACUUCAGUGCCGCAGGGAAGCCAUUAAGCCCGCCGCCUGGGGAGUACGGCCGCAAGGCUGAAACUUAAAGGAAUUGGCGGGGGAGCGACCACAAGGCGUGAAGCUUGCGGUUC
rnacentral:rRNA from 1 species